rnacentral:rRNA from 1 species
UGUACUUGGUGUUACUGCGAAGGGGGGACGGAGAAGGCUAUGUUGGCCGGGCGACGGUUGUCCCGGUUUAAGCGUGUAGGCUGGUUUUCCAGGCAAAUCCGGAAAAUCAAGGCUGAGGCGUGAUGACGAGGCACUGCGGUGCUGAAGCAACAAAUGCCCUGCUUCCAGGAAAAGCCUCUAAGCAUCAGGUAACAUCAAAUCGUACCCCAAACCGACACAGGUGGUCAGGUAGAGAAUACCAAGGCGCUUGAGAGAACUCGGGUGAAGGAACUAGGCAAAAUGGUGCCGUAACUUCGGGAGAAGGCACGCUGAUAUGUAGGUGAAGUCCCUCGCGGAUGGAGCUGAAAUCAGUCGAAGAUACCAGCUGGCUGCAACUGUUUAUUAAAAACACAGCACUGUGCAAACACGAAAGUGGACGUAUACGGUGUGACGCCUGCCCGGUGCCGGAAGGUUAAUUGAUGGGGUUAGCGCAAGCGAAGCUCUUGAUCGAAGCCCCGGUAAACGGCGGCCGUAACUAUAACGGUCCUAAGGUAGCGAAAUUCCUUGUCGGGUAAGUUCCGACCUGCACGAAUGGCGUAAUGAUGGCCAGGCUGUCUCCACCCGAGACUCAGUGAAAUUGAACUCGCUGUGAAGAUGCAGUGUACCCGCGGCAAGACGGAAAGACCCCGUGAACCUUUACUAUAGCUUGACACUGAACAUUGAGCCUUGAUGUGUAGGAUAGGUGGGAGGCUUUGAAGUGUGGACGCCAGUCUGCAUGGAGCCGACCUUGAAAUACCACCCUUUAAUGUUUGAUGUUCUAACGUUGACCCGUAAUCCGGGUUGCGGACAGUGUCUGGUGGGUAGUUUGACUGGGGCGGUCUCCUCCUAAAGAGUAACGGAGGAGCACGAAGGUUGGCUAAUCCUGGUCGGACAUCAGGAGGUUAGUGCAAUGGCAUAAGCCAGCUUGACUGCGAGCGUGACGGCGCGAGCAGGUGCGAAAGCAGGUCAUAGUGAUCCGGUGGUUCUGAAUGGAAGGGCCAUCGCUCAACGGAUAAAAGGUACUCCGGGGAUAACAGGCUGAUACCGCCCAAGAGUUCAUAUCGACGGCGGUGUUUGGCACCUCGAUGUCGGCUCAUCACAUCCUGGGGCUGAAGUAGGUCCCAAGGGUAUGGCUGUUCGCCAUUUAAAGUGGUACGCGAGCUGGGUUUAGAACGUCGUGAGACAGUUCGGUCCCUAUCUGCCGUGGGCGCUGGAGAACUGAGGGGGGCUGCUCCUAGUACGAGAGGACCGGAGUGGACGCAUCACUGGUGUUCGGGUUGUCAUGCCAAUGGCACUGCCCGGUAGCUAAAUGCGGAAGAGAUAAGUGCUGAAAGCAUCUAAGCACGAAACUUGCCCCGAGAUGAGUUCUCCCUGACUCCUUGAGAGUCCUGAAGGAACGUUGAAGACGACGACGUUGAUAGGCCGG